rnacentral:misc_RNA from 1 species
UCCUGGUUAACCCAGGCAGUCUCAUUAGAGUGCCCACCUUAAAUGCUGGCAACUAAUGACAAGGGUUGCGCUCGUUGCUGGACUUAACCAAACACCUCACGGCACGAGCUGACGACAGCCAUGCAGCACCUGUGUAUAAGGCCCCGAAGGGAGAUCGCAUUUCUGCGACUGUCCUCAUACAUGUCAAGUCUGGGUAAGGUUCUUCGCGUUGCAUCGAAUUAAACCACAUGCUCCACUGCUUGUGCGGGUCCCCGUCAAUUCUUUUGAGUUUCAGCCUUGCGACUGUACUCCCCAGGCGGUAUACUUAUCGCGUUUGCUUCGACACAACCAGGGUUGAGUCCGGUUACAUCAAGUAUACAUCGUUUACGGCAAGGACUAC